AUGAGAUUGUGGGGUCUUCUCCUUUGCCUGGUGACAGCUCCCCAAGGUGUCCUGUCCGAGGUGCAGCUGCAGGAGUCGGGCCCAGGACUGGUGAAGCCCUCGCAGACCCUCUCCCUCACCUGCACCGUCUCUGGUGACUCCAUCACAACCAGUGGUUAUGGUUGGAACUGGAUCCGCCGGCCCUCAGGGAAGGGGCUUGAGUGGAUGGGAUACAUUACUUCCGGUGGCAGCACAAGUUAUAAUCCGUCCCUCAAGAGCCGCACCUCCAUCACCAGAAACACGUCCAAGAACCAGUUCUCCCUGCAGCUGAGAUCUGUGACCGACGAGGACACAGGCGUGUAUUUCUGUGCGAGAGACACAGUGACAGGAAGUCAGCGUCUAGAGCCCCGCUCAGUUCCUGUCAACUCUCCCUGUGCAGGUGCAAAUCAGAGGCUCAGUGAUGAGGAUGAGCCAUGA